rnacentral:rRNA from 1 species
CUACGGGGGGCUGCAGUGGGGAAUAUUGCACAAUGGGCGCAAGCCUGAUGCAGCCAUGCCGCGUGUAUGAAGAAGGCCUUCGGGUUGUAAAGUACUUUCAGCGGGGAGGAAGGGAGUAAAGUUAAUACCUUUGCUCAUUGACGUUACCCGCAGAAGAAGCACCGGCUAACUCCGUGCCAGCAGCCGCGGUAAUACGGAGGGUGCAAGCGUUAAUCGGAAUGACUGGGCGUAAAGCGCACGCAGGCGGUUUGUUAAGUCAGAUGUGAAAUCCCCGGGCUCAACCUGGGAACUGCAUCUGAUACUGGAAAGCUUGAGUCUCGUAGGGGGGGGUAGAAUUCCAGGUGUAGCGGUGAAAUGCGUAGAGAUCUGGAGGAAUACCGGUGGCGAAGGCGGCCCCCUGGACGAAGACUGACGCUCAGGUGCGAAAGCGUGGGGAGCAAACAGGAUUAGAUACCCGUGUAGUC